UGACACCCGGGGUCGAGCUGUCGAUGGCGUCAAAGAGUUCUAUGAGAAGGGAGACAACUCCAAGACCAUACGAUGGACAACAAGCAGAGCUGGAUGACGCGACUAGUUACAUUAAUUAAUGUUACACGCUUUUUCUUGCAUGAAGGUCAGGUGUUACUAACAGCCAACCGCUUUAUCAACGCUCGCGUGAUGCAAACUGCUAUGCAGUAUAUCUGAUCCUACUCUGCCAAAAAAAAAACAAAAAAACAAGACAGUGUCGUUCAUCUACAUAAAUGGGAUAGGCAGGCUCAUACAUGAUGCAUGAGCCUUGGUUCAGAUAUGCUAAACCCAGGUCUACUUGCUUUCCCUGAAGCUGUAGCCGUCAGUGCAUCUUCAUUGUCGCCAUCAUCUGGCAUCUCCAACUCCUUCCCAUCACUGAUACUUCACUCACUCCCAUCAUCAAACUUGACUGGACUUCCAUCAGCAUCAGUUUUUCAGGGAAAUAGCUUUUCGUGUCCUCAGCAAUCCACCCAAACAAGAGAGGCAAAUCUGACUACAGCUUCUUUGGCACCCAUUAUAUCUCCAUGUUCUUUGUCUUCAAAAGCACAAAAUUCAACACCUCUUUGCAGUUUUGAUGUGCUAUCCUUAAAUCCAGCUGCAGACAGUCACCCAAAUAAGAAUGGUGGUCAAGAUGAGAAACCGAAACUACAAAGCUAUGGCCUGCAAAGGGGACUAGAGUGGAAAAUAGUGGGAGUUACGUCUUUGUCAGAAAGCUUCCCAAAGGGAAUGCUGAUCCAGUCUGCAGCAGCAACACAUAAUAACCAGCAGCAGGAAUCUCCUGAUGUCCAGCAAAUGCCCGAGAGAUCCACUUCUUCAAGGACUGGUCCUGGUGCAGUCUCGCCUAAAGGCAAUGAACAGUGGACUAUUGUAGGGGUGACAUCGCUAGAUCAGGCAGUUGGUUUUACAGGCACACUGCCACUAAUUUCAUCCCCAACCACACUAGUCAGUCAGACAUCAGCAAAGACACCAGCAGAGCUACCAACGCAGGAAAUAUACGACACUAACAGUGUUGGAGGUGGUGGUGUUGAUGCUGGUGUGCCAUUAUUGCCGGGUGACCCAUCAGCACUCUGUUGCCAGUGGAAGAUUGCAGGCAUCACUACUUUACCUGUGCCUACUGUGAUUACUGCUCCACAGGCGAACCUUCCCAACUCUGCAGUGCCGCAGCUAGUGGAAGACAGCCCUGGCUCAAAAGCAAGCCCAUAUCGUGUGGAGGAGGGUCCAAAAUGGAAGGUAGUUGGCAUGACUUCAAUUAGUUCAGAGAAACUGGGGGAUGCUCCAGGCAAGUCCUGUGCCUUUAGUCACCAUGGCAGCAGCAGGACCUCUAGUAUCGGUUCCAGCUGCACCAGCUUCAGCUGUUGGAGAAGGUGCCUGGAAGGUGGUAGGGGUUGUGCCGUUGCCUCAGACAGCUUGUGCUCCUAACAGUCAGCUUGCAAGUCAGUCCUCAGGCGUUGUCAGUUGCGAUCCGAGUUGUGCACCAUGCAGCACCCUCACCAGCCGAAAGAUUCUGCCCACGACAGACAUGCCAAAAGAAGUCAAAGCUUUGCCCCACCCUUUGUCUUUCCUUAAAAACUGUUCCAAUCAUUUCCGCAAUGCAGUCUUGAAGAAGAACACCGUGUCAACUAUGCUUGAGUUGAAAAGAGCUUAUGAAAAGCGAUGUAGGUUAGGAAAUAAAACAAAUCCAUUGUUUUGUCAAGAAUCUUCAAGUCAAGCUGCGAACAGUCAAAGGUGCAAAGGGCAGUGCAUAACGGACAGUUUUGUCAGUGCUGAUGACAGAACAGUGCUGUCAGAAUUGUACCAUUCACAGAUGUUGGACCAGUCUCAAUCUACAAACCAUUCAGAAUCAAGGGAGCCCACAGGAAGUUAUUCAGAGAUGACAAAACAGAGUCCGGUGUCGGAAAACCAAAUGCCAAAAAGUAAUGAAGAAAGAGGAUCAUUGUUAGGAUCAAGUAAACAUGCCAGACAAGAACAGGCUUCUUCAGAUGAUGCGGAGAUGUUGUAUGAUCAAUGGCGAGUAUUUAAGUCCGAAGGUAAUGAACUGGUAAUGGCUGCAAAUGGUGAAGGAGAUGGAGUGCACUUAGCUGCAGUUGAUCCCUGGGGUGUUUGUACUGAUGAGGACCUGGAUGAAAUUGCAGAAAUGAUGGCAGAAAGAGCAGACAAAACACCGCCAUCCUCAUCACGAAAACGUAAAUUAUCUACUCCUCGUAAAAUGGUGCAGUGAUUGCAGGCAGAGAAUGGGUACCAGUGCAUGAACAUGUCUGAGUGCAUUUAUGUUAUGAACAUGGCUGCCUAGCAGAUGCACAAUACAUAUGCUGGAUUUCUAUAAAGGAAUGCCAACAAAAAUGUGAACUGAAUGAUGUGAAACCUGAAGGGCAGCUGCAGUGCAGGCUUGUGAUAUUUGCAGUGGAAAAUUUUCCAGAUCCAUGCUGGUCAUGAAUCUGGAAAGGGACUCCGUGCAGCUUUAAAUUGUGUUCCAUGUUCUCCAAGAACAUUUAGAAAUGACUGACACUUAUCCGAUUGUAAACUACAUUAAAAAAAAAUAAAAAUAAUUGAAAUAGUUGUGGAGCAUGAGAAGGGCCUUUCAAUCUUCAAAACUGAAUUUGCAUGAAUGUGAAAAACGCAAACCCAGACAGACUUGGCAAUGCAAUGAGAGCAAUAUACUGCAGUCCCUUUAGUUUAUAAAUAUUCCUAUGAGAAUAUUAGGUUGAAAAAGUCCCUCUAGGAUACACCAUGUUUUCCAGUGAGGUCAGUUAAAAUUGUGCUGGUAUUGUAUACAAAUGUUUACUUGUAAAGCUGAAUGUGUAAAUGUGUUUACAUGUAAAUCUGAAUGUGUAACAGUUGCUGAGUUGAGGGAGGGAUAGGGGAAGGCCCUAGCAUACCUGUGCACCAUCAGCUGCAAAUGCAUUGAUGUCAAAUCUGUGAUUGUAACAAGCAGUACUGUCCAACGUGAUUUUGUGAAGAUCUGUGCCAAAAUAGUGAGCUUAAGACAUUGAAGACACAACACUCAAAGGUGGUACCUGCCCCGCGUAUGAAUAUGCAUAUAUAUAUAUGGAGUGUUGUUUUGUCGACAGAUUCUGUUGCAAGACAGCUAAGCAUUGUUGGUGGAUUAAUAAACCAGGCAAGUGGAUUUGCUGUGGUCUGUAUAUCAUUUCUGUAAUGCGCUCUUAACAAAUCAUUGGAGGAGCACUAUAUAAAUGUUUAUUAUUUCUGUUCAUGCUAAGUAUCUUUCACCUAUGCAUUUUAUUGCGCUAGAUCACAAGCGAAUUGUCAUAUGGCACAGGAUAUAAAAUUAUUGCUCGUACCCUGCUCCACAUUUUAAUAAAAUCAAAACAAGUUAAAA
rnacentral:misc_RNA from 1 species